CUCACAGAGAUCCGCCUGCCUCUGCCUCUGCUGGGACUAAAGGUGUGACUCACUAUGCUUGGCUAUGAUAUAUUCUUCUUUUAAUGCUAAUGAAACAGAGUUCUAGGUAGUUUUGAUAACAAAUAAACAUUUGAAAAUGACAGGGGGGAGAAAAGGCCCAUCCUUUGCCAAUUGAUAAGAGAGAAUUCUGGUAUUUUCCUAUUCGAAUUAUGACGGUGUGGUAUGAUAUUAUUUUGUUCAAAACAAGCAUGAAAUCCCAGAUGCAACACACAGUGAAUUUAAAGAAGAAACAGCUUUGAAAGCCUUAAUCUUUUGUUACAUUUCAGAUGUAAACCCACUAGAGAACACUCAUCAUCCAAGAUUUUACCAUCUUAAAGACGGCCUUCUUCUGAAGUGAUAACAGAACUAGAAGUCACAAACACUAUUGCUCCUUAUGCAAUAGAUUUGGAAACAGAUUGGCAUGGCCUCCCCAAAAAAGAAUUCAAAAACUAGUGCUGAUUGUUAGUCUUAAUCCCACAUAGGGCUGAUUUAGGAAGGUGGCCCACCGAGGACCACUGAACUGUGUUCCUAACUUCUGUCCCUCAGUGAGUACUCCUCACAUUUUAGUGUGUAGCUUGAGGGCACACUGGAGUCAGUGGAGUGAAUGGAGUUGGUGGGUGGGAUCGUGAGUGUAGAAGUGGUCUUAAGCCUGAGAUACUCUGUGCCUUCUCUCAGCCCAAUGGGCUACUGGAUGGCCUCUUUCUUCAUUAGAGGGCCUGGCUCAAGAUUAUUUACAGUUUUGAAUGGUGAAUAUGAGGGUAUCAUUUCAUGUCACCAUUUAUUGAUGAACAUGAGAGUAUCAUUUCAAGUGGGAAAUAUGUUUAUGCACCGAGGAAAUCCCUAGCUUCCCUGAGCAAUCUCUCAUAGCAGACAUUUGUAUCUAGGCAGUGUUUAUUGAUCAAGAUGGGCAAGACUGGAUAGAGUCAAAGUAAUAGUGACAGCAUCCCAGAAACAGGAAAUCUUUUAUCUGCAUUCCACUCCUCUAAACCAGAGAGUCCUCUUUUAAAGCACUCACUCGGUGUAAAGGUAAUGUUGAUAUCUAAAUAUGUGUUUACAGCCUUCAUGGAUUUCAAGUGGUCUUUCAAGCUGUAUUCCUACUAAGAAAUGGAAAUGGUGGUGCAUUUCUGUAAUCUCAGCACUUGGGAGGCUGAGGAAGGAGGGUUAGGAGUUCAAGGUCAACCUCAGCUGCAUAAUGAGUUCAAGGCCCUGUCUAAAACCAAACAAACAAAUAAAAUUUAAAAAAUAAGGGAAAUCUCUUUAUCAAUGUCUAGAACAAAUAGUGGCCCAUUCUUAACUCAAGAAUUCACUCUUCAUUCACAUGAAGGUAAGGGGUUGGUAUUUCAAACCUGAUAUCAAAGUCAAUUCACUACCAUGAGAGAAUGAUUUAAAAAGUCUUCUUGGGGGAGGAGUUGAUAGAAGCUCGGACCAAGUUGCUUCAAAUAUCCUGUUGUUAACAUAUAACCGGUUUAGAGAUUAUAAUGGAAAAACUAGGGAUAUGAUACCAAGACAAAGGUGCUGAGAUAAAGUACAGUAGUCUACUUAUUGAUUCAUUUAUUCAGUCAGCAAACAUUCAUUGAGUGCUCACCCUAGGCAAAACACUAACCUUGGAGAGAAAGGUAGGUCUUUGAUCUCAAAGACACUGUGUGGGAGAAGAUGGAUUUUUUCUUUUUUAGACAGAUAAUUACAGUUCAGUGCAAAAGGGAGUCAUUCAAAGUCCAAAACGCAGUAGUACCUCAGGGGAAGAUGUACCUUUGUCUGGCAGGAGGAGGAAAAGUGAUGUUUGAGCUCACUCCUAAUGGAGGUAAAAGGUAUUCUAGGCAGAGGAGAUGAUAUGCGCAAAGCCCAGAGGUGAUGGGGAAGCCUGCCAUUGCCAGAGAAUCAUACCUACUUUGUAUUACGGAGCAUAAACUGUAAAGGGAAUGUUGGAAGUAAAACUGAGGGGUGGGUCCAAGUUAAAAGUUAAAGACCUUAAAGAAGUUAAUAUUUUAUCUUGUGUACCAGACCAAAAAGCCAUUGUAAAUAUCUGAACAUAGAAACACGUUCUAGGAAAGCCAUGCCAUCCGAAGAAUAGAAAAUAUAGAUUGAAAAUAAGAGCCUGUGAGUAACAGUAGUUUUCACAGCUGCUGUUGUGGUGUAAGGGUGCUAAGGAGAAAUGCACUUCAUUAAAUAGAUCUGCGCCCUAGAAGCAGGGCAAGAAUGAAAGCAUAAAGGUAUUUUCUAGAGAAAUAUUCUUUUCUUUUUAAAAAAAGGAAACGACUUCUCACACAUUGCAGUGGUUGUUAAUUUUAGUGUGACCUGCAUGUACCUUUAAAAUACAUGCAUUGUUUUACUUAUGUGAUUGGCAAGUAACUGAGUGGGUGUUUCUAUUACUGUAGCAAAGACAGCAUAAUUGUAGCAAGAAUGCUACCCGGAGCCAGCUGACUUGCCUGCCCAUCUCACUUUUCAGUCUUUGAAGGACUUUGAGGAAGUUGCUGCAUCUCCCUGAGCCACCCUGUCCCUCUUUGUAAGGUGAAGAGCCCAGUGUAAAGGACCCCGGACUCACAACUUUUCAUCCACUAAUCGCUCCUAAUGUUCAUUUCUUACUUCAUCUUAGUACUUUUUAUUUACUUAAUUUUUAUUUUUUUUUUCAGUUUUAAGAGGGAUAGAAGUAUUUCAGAGAUAACUCCUCCCCCAGGGUGUCAUUUAAGUACAAUUCCAUUUUUGUUUCUCCAUGCUUAACUCAUGUAGCCUUCUCCCAGGCAGGGGUGAGGAUGCUGGUUGUUUUGAAGCAUCAGGCUUACUGCUCACAUGAAUCACAUUGCAUCUUCAGAUGAACAAAAAGAGGAGUACUAUUUAAUCACUUCCUAGGCCUACUCAGCUAAAUGGACAAUUUAAGCUCUAAUAUUUCGGUUAUGGAUUUUCCUGUCCAAAAUGAUUCUGUUUGACUCAGGUCAAAUAAUUGGAUGGUCUUAGGAAAGGUAGUAUUGUAAAAAAACUGAGGUCCUUGAAAUGACUGAAAGUGUGCUGCUUCUAACUACAGCUCCUUAUUUAAACUUGUGUAUUUCUUUGGAAACUUGCUGUUACUUAAUGCUUUUUCCUUCCCACUUAAAGGCUGUUUACUUUAUUCAUGUAUCUCCUAGUGCUCCUGGAACUCCGUGGGGUUUGUACCUACAAAACAUCACAGCAGAACCAUUAGUAGGCUGCAGAGACAUGCAGGGGUCCCAGAGCAAAUCAAAAUGUUUUUUUAGUGUAUGACAUGUUUGAAGUUGGUGAAAAUUCAUGACUUCUCUCCAUCAGGCCUGUCUCAGAUUAAGUCAUCAGAGAAAGGUGAGUGCAAAGAAUUUCAUUUAAUAUUUUAAAAUUCUGGAAUCCUUCCCAUUGCAAAGAAUCCAUGCAAGUUUCAUGGAUUUGUUUUUGGCUCUGUUCUCUUUAGUAGUUUGAUUAAAAAGCAAAAGAAAAUUAGUGGUUCACAGUUGCCUUUCAGAACUUCCUGCUUAUACCAUUGCCCAGAUAUACAACUUUUAAAGAGAAAUCGAAAUGUGGUUUGAGAAUAUAGUCACCAAAUGCAAAUAUGCAAAAUAUGUGUGAAAGACUACAUGAGUACCGUUAACAUUUAUUACUUCUUAUGGCAUAGAAAUAGCUUCAAAUGUAUCUUUCAAAACGGAAAAUAAAAUAUUCAAGAAAAUCCUAGGAAAUAAAAGAACCCAAAAGGCUGCAGAUAUAGUGAUCAGCUGUUAUUAAGUAAAAAUCCAUUGAAAGCCAAAUAAAAGGCAUUGUGUAGUGUGUCCCGGCUAAAGCUGAGAACACAAGAGCAUCGUAGUUAAUUAGAACCAAUCAACGGGAUGCUUUGCGACACCUUUCACACGAGUACACCAUCUGAUCUUCACGGUCCUCAUUUCCCACAGUGUUGUUGCAGAAAGGACAGGAAGGACAUAUUUGACUCACUACACUUCGUGACACAUUUUAAUUUCUCUUCCCUCUUUCAUUCUUUUUAAGUAACUGGUUUGGAAAUAAGAUCUUGAAAAACAAAAAUCCUCUAAUGAGAAUCUGACUCAAAGUUUUGUUUUAAUUUUAUCUAUGUAUUUGAGCAUGAGAAAAAUACUGAUUUUUUAAAAAUAAAGUUUAGAUUAUGAAUUUGAAUUAUUAUAUGCGUUUUGUAUGACUGUUGUAGUUGUGGGGGAAAAAACCCUGAGCCUAUCCUGAGCCACUGAAUACAGGGGUAUUAUGAAUGAUUAUUAUAUUGCAAGUAGUUAUCACAUUACACCUAUUCUCAUAAUUAACACAGUACUGAACUAAGUUAACUACAUAAUAUUGACACUAUCUAUCUUAAGGGAAGAUACAGGACUUAACACUGGCCUGUUUUCACAACUCGUUGAGUGCUUGCUUUUACCCAGAAAAACUUAGCCUUAGGUUGAUUUCUUAUUCUCAGGAAAAAUAUUGCUAGGGAAAAAUACUGCUUUUAUCCCAUUUUCAUGAAGUUCACAGUGUGUUUCUUGUAAGUGGUAUUUAAAGUUCUGCCAUGUAUCCUACAUUUAAAAAAAAAAAAAUCUGGUGUUGGUUUGCUGUUCAUCAUCCAACCUGAAAGGCAGACUAUUCUGAGCCACUGAAGGGCUUCAGAACAUUUAAAAAAUAACCUAUGAAAAAAUAUUCACACGUUUUGACAAGCAUUUCUUGUCAAGGUUUGCCCCCCUUUAAAAAGCUAGUUUGUGAACAGCUAGCAGACAGCCUUUUUUUGGAGGCAUAACCAGCAAUAAAACCGGUGCUGUUGCUCUCAGUGAGAUGUCUUAGUUAGAAGUCUAUGGUCCAGUCUCCAGGGUUUACAAAGCAUGGCUUGUCCUUGCAAACGAGCCGCUCUCAAACUCCUCAGCCAUCUCCUGGUAGAAGGAAACAUGCUUUGGAGGAAAGCUAAGCUGUCUGGCUUUUGUUUAUUUAUUUAUUUUUUUCUGGUCUGCAUAUUGUCUCCUCUUACUUCAUACAAGAUGUGGCUUUUUCCCUCUUCCUCGGCAAACCCAUCUCAAAAAUAAAUAAAUAAUAAAUAAAUAAACAAACAGGGAAAAGAAAAAGGCCUUUGCUAAAUAUUCCCUUUCUUGAAAACUCAUAUGCCUGCAGAAAGAAAACAAGUUUUGAGAACCAUCCUCUGCCUAGCAUUAACUGUUUCUCCUCUUUGCACAGGUUUACUCUCCAGCUCGGUGAGAGGGUGCAUCUGUGACCCUUAGCAAACCUACCCUUCAGAUCACCAGCCUCAGGACAAAUAUUUUAGUUUGGAUAAUCAUUUCACACAUAAUAACAUAAAAGUAUGGUGGGAUAUGAUUUCCUUCUGCUAUUAACGACACAGUAACACUUGUAUUUAACUCAAGACGGCUGCAUUUGUCCUGCAGGGCUGGCUGUAAGUGUUAGCUGCUUUCCCAGACAGCCGUUUCUGGGUGGGAAUGCCCUCCGCUUCACGUCAGGACAAGAGCGCCUUUUAAACUGGAGAGCUUGAAGAAAAGACCUUUGCUUAACAGAUGAUACAGGACAAGGAUGAAUUGAAUAGCUCCAGUUACCAGGAUGUAAAAGUCUACAUCAGAAUCAGUCUACUUGGAGCAUACUCUUCUUCAGCAAAGCAGACUGUUUCCUGAGGCAUUUGGAAGUGCUUGGCUACAUUAACAUGGGAUACAGAAUUUGACUGGAUGAAGAAGCUCUAAGCCGAAGACAGAUGAGCCCUGGAUUUUCUUACUUAUCUGUAAACCCAUUGUCUGUUCUGAGCAGGUCUUGGGGAAAGAAUACUAUACAAAGUUCUCAAAGUUGCUAUUUCUCAUGAGCAGGGCACAUCUUAAGACAGGAGAAGAGUGUUAAGAGUAGACCUCAGGCUUCAUUCUAAGUGACUCCCUGAGGUUUCCCAUGUGAAUUCAUGAUUUGCCCAUGCCUUGAGCUAACCUGUUGAAGCUCCCAAGAUGAACAAUGUGAAUGUUCUCUUCUUCAAACUUUAAAUAAAAGUCGUACGCUGAGUUGCAGAGAAGAGGAAUUAGCUACCUUACCACCAAGACGCUGCUCUUCUCAAUAACAAUGUGCUCCACAAAUUUCUCAGAACAUCACAUUAAGGUGAUUUGGGGAGAGGUAUUGGGAUGAAAUUAGAUCUGGAGAAUUCUUUGGACUCUUCCAUGAACUGAAAUUAGGAUAUUUUACAAGAAGGUUGUACAGAAUUAAAAAAAAAAUGGGGAAAAGAUGCUGAUGAUUUCAUGAUUGUAAAUGACAUUGUCAAAUGAAUGUGAAAAUUCAAACUCAUCACACAAGUCACACAAGGACAAAAAUGAAGAAAACUCCAGGUCCCUGUCUGUCUCUGUAUUGGGUCUCCUUACUGCUACUCUCCUGGCUUUUCAGCUUCCCUGCCCUGCCCCAACACUCUACCUAACAGAUAGGCUUGGUUUUCUAGGACACUAGUGCUGGAUGGCUGGGGGAUGGAGGUCGGCAAUCAUAAAGAUGAUGACUCCUGUUUCCUUCCUUGCGCACACCCCACCGAAUGCCACCACCACCUCUCACAAACGUGUGUUUCCCAGUCGUAUGAGAACUUCAGAUGUGAUAAAAUGUCCAUGGAGUUGAUCCAGCCCACAUCUCGUGUUGGCUUCUUUUCAGGAAAACUAGUGGUACAUUAUUUUAUUUUUAUGAGCUUACCGUGUAAAUGCGAGCCUGUUAAGUGAGUUAUUGCCAGCAAUCAGGACCAUUUGUUACAUAACAUCAGUAAGAGGGACUCAGGUGAGAAACAACUCUGAUUGUAGGUGUUUAGUCCCAAUGUACAUCAGUUGUAACUCCUUAAAUGUAUUUCUUCUAGCAGCUAAUUUGAAAUACUUUAUCAGUGAAAGUCUUAGCACAACAGUUAUACAAACAUACAUAGAAAAACAUGAGGAAAUUAAAUCAGACUUAUAAUGUAAACCUUAACAAAAUGAUGGCUUAAUUUGUACUCACUUUGUAAUUUUAACUAAAUAUUGUGGUAAGUAGUUCUUACUUAAAUCCUAAGUAUAUGGGCAUUUAUUAUACACAAUAUGAAAAUACUUCAAGAGGCUUGUGAUUAACGCUGUGGUAUUCAAGCAUUAGUUUACAGCGACUUUCAAUCAAAGACAAAAGGUUCAAGCAGAUGAUGAAACACAUUAAAAAGAUGUAUGUGUACACCCAAGGACUUAAUUCAGACCUGCUCACAGUAACUCAGUUCGAGUUUUUAUCCACAGCAAGUAUCCCUGGAGCUUGACACAGGACUAUUCUUAGGGCAGAGUGGCCAGACAAAGUACAAGAUUGCCUAGUUAACUUUCAUUUCAGAUCAGCAAUGAAUAUUUUUCAUAUAAAAUUAUAUUCCAGACAUUGAGUACAGUUAUUAGAAAAUCAACUAUCACUGAACACCUUGCACGAUUGUUCUUUUCUAGACAUGGCAACCCUACCCUAGGGGUUCUGAAGAGUUCCUACCUAACUCCUUCCCUGACUUCCAUAGCUUAACUUGAGGUCUCUCAAUCAUGCAGACAUUCACUUGAACAUGUAUGUGCUCGUUCUUUAAAGGAUGAUGCCUGGAAGAUUGGAAACCCCCAAAUCCAAAUGUCAGUCAAGCAUGGUGAUCUGACUUAUAUUAUAGACUGAUUGCUAUGUUUUGCAUGCAGUUUGUUCCCCAGUAAUCACAUGGUGGAAGCCUAUUCUUCACUGCAGCCAGGGAAAGGCAGUGGGGUCUUUAAGAAGUAGGACCUCAUGAGAGGCUGUUAGGCCAUUGACUGUAUUGUGCUUGGAUGGGAUUAUGACAGUUCUUAUGAACUCUGGGUCAGUUCUAGUGAGAGUGGGUUAUUGUAAGAGCAAGGCCAACCUCGGAGCUCUUAAAUUGCUCUAUAACUUCCUAUCCUAGGAUACCAUCUCCUUUUUUCAGAAAUGGUCUCACUACUUUGGUACUGACUUCCAAGGGGACCUCACUAGAGCUGAGCUGAGCUGAAGCCAGAGCUGUGGUGUGUUUGACAGUGCUCAAACUUGGGAAGAAAUGAACAAACGUAUUACCUCCCAUUUCCAGAUAGGGAACCAGCACAGACCAAAGUGAGGAUAUCAUCAAAGUCCAAUUGGUGAACCAGGGUGUUUUAUUGGGUUACUUACAGAGGCAGAAGUAACUCCAAGACAGCUGCAUCACCAAAGUCUACCCCAGCAUGGGUGCAAGAUCAUGAAAAUUGGAAUCCUGGAGGACACUGCACAACCUUAGACAGUUGUGAGACUGGAGAUUGGAGAGUGUUCUUUACAGGUAGUUAAACUGGCCUGAGUCUCUUCCAUCGAGCUUAGCUGGACUCUGCUUCUUCCAGACAUCUCAGCUUCUCUAAGUGUCUCUCAGCAGUCCUUACUGCUUAUAUGUGUUUGGCAGAGAGAGGAAUUCAGUGGAUCUGGUCAGUUUUAGGGAUUUCCUGGAGCUUUUGAGUUGUUUACUUCCUGAACUUCAUGACUUUGCUGCAAGACAGCACGUUUCAUCUUCCCUUAGAACAUAUUAUGUCUUCAUGAGCUUCCCUCCAAGAUGGAAGUUGACUACAGAGGAACUCACUGUGCUCUGGAGUCUUUAGAACUAUGAGCUUAAUAAACCUCCUUUCUUUAAAAACGUACCCAGCUUUGGACAUUUCAAUAUAGUAACAAAACAGAAGGUAACAUAUUCCCCCACUCCCUUCUUCUUAGGCUUGUUUCCUCUUGAGAAUUUUGUUCAUGUUUUCAAAUAAAAAUUUAAACAUCAGUAAAUGGAGAGAGGUUGCCAUGUCACUAGUUGUAGUGCCAAGAAGACAUUUUCUUUGUUUUUUUUUUCUCUUUCUCCUUGAAUUUGAAUGCAGUGCUAAUUCUUUGAAAGCAUGUUCUUAAUGUUUGGUACCACUUUUCAAAGAGCACACAGAUGUGACUUGAGUGAGGAGAACCCUUCUCAGCUUAAGUCUGCUCUCAUGGAUUGGUCUUUUAGAGCUUAGGGAAGUUGGGUUCUCUAAGGUUUGAUUUACUAUUUUCUAAGUGAGGCCAACUGAGAGCCCUACAAGUGUCCAGCAACCAAAGAAAUGGAAUAUCAACAUGGUAGACUAGGAAACAAAACACGUAGAAUUGGCAGAUUUGAGAGUGAUUUACUUCAACUAGCUGUGAGAUCCCAUGCAGACCAUUAAGCCCUCAUGAUGCCUGGUAUUCUUUUCAAUAAAACGGGCAUGUUGCCAGGUGGUGGAGGCACACACCUUUAAUUCCAGCACUCAGGGAGGCAAAGGCAG